UUGUCUGUGACCUGUGGCCUGUGUCUGUGACCAUCUUGUGGCCACUGAGGCACACACUCAACCUGAAUCUGGUCCUCCAUUACUAACUCAGCUAAGGCCGGGUUUUCCCUGUGUUCUGUUUUGUGUGAGGACGUGCUGGGGUAUCACAUGUGCUUUCCCUGCCAUGUCUGGUACCGCUAUGGCAGAAAGAAAAGGAGCCGAUGACCAUAUGUCUACCGCCUCGGCAACCCUGUGCCAUUUGUUCUUCUCCCUGGGCUUCUCUCCCUCCUCUCUCUCUCUGCCGUGUGACUUUCCUCCAAGUUGGAUGUGUCCAUGGCUGUCUUGAAGCAGAGUGGCUAUGACGACCCAUGGGAGGCCCUCACAAGACCCUUGUGGAAGUGGAAGGCAGAUGAAAGACUCUCAGGAGGCCUUCCGAGGACCUCAUGAAGAUAUGUAAGAGGAGCUGCAGGAUGACGCUGGCUUUACAAGAGGAAACAAGUUCGGGUCACAGGUGUCUGUGCGUAUGGGUCUUCUACCACCAGCAACAUUUGCACAAAACAAAAACCCUGGAGGCUGGUGACAGCUCAGUUGAUCAAGUUCUUGCUGCACAAGCAGGAGCCUGAGAAUACUCAC
rnacentral:lncRNA from 1 species